GACGAACGCUGGCGGCGUGCUUAACACAUGCAAGUCGAACGGAAAGGCCCUGCUUUUGUGGGGUGCUCGAGUGGCGAACGGGUGAGUAACACGUGAGUAACCUGCCCUUGACUUUGGGAUAACUUCAGGAAACUGGGGCUAAUACCGGAUAGGAGCUCCUGCUGCGUGGUGGGGGUUGGAAAGUUUCGGCGGUUGGGGAUGGACUCGCGGCUUAUCAGCUUGUUGGUGGGGUAGUGGCUUACCAAGGCUUUGACGGGUAGCCGGCCUGAGAGGGUGACCGGCCACAUUGGGACUGAGAUACGGCCCAGACUCCUACGGGAGGCAGCAGUGGGGAAUAUUGCACAAUGGGCGGAAGCCUGAUGCAGCAACGCCGCGUGCGGGAUGACGGCCUUCGGGUUGUAAACCGCUUUCGCCUGUGACGAAGCGUGAGUGACGGUAAUGGGUAAAGAAGCACCGGCUAACUACGUGCCAGCAGCCGCGGUGAUACGUAGGGUGCGAGCGUUGUCCGGAUUUAUUGGGCGUAAAGGGCUCGUAGGUGGUUGAUCGCGUCGGAAGUGUAAUCUUGGGGCUUAACCCUGAGCGUGCUUUCGAUACGGGUUGACUUGAGGAAGGUAGGGGAGAAUGGAGUUCCUGGUGGAGCGGUGGAAUGCGCAGAUAUCAGGAGGAACACCAGUGGCGAAGGCGGUUCUCUGGGCCUUUCCUGACGCUGAGGAGCGAAAGCGUGGGGAGCGAACAGGCUUAGAUACCCUGGUAGUCCACGCUGUAAACGGUGGGUACUAGGUGUGGGGUCCAUUCCACGGGUUCCGUGCCGUAGCUAACGCUUUAAGUACCCCGCCUGGGGAGUACGGCCGCAAGGCUAAAACUCAAAGGAAUUGACGGGGCCCCGCACAAGCGGCGGAGCAUGCGGAUUAAUUCGAUGCAACGCGUAGAACCUUACCUGGGUUUGACAUGGAUCGGGAGUGCCCAGAGAUGGGUGUGCCUCUUUUGGGGUCGGUUCACAGGUGGUGCAUGCCUGUCGUCAGCUCGUGUCGUGAGAUGUUGGGUUAAGUCCCGCAACGAGCGCAACCCUUGUUCACUGUUGCCAGCACGUUAUGGUGGGGACUCAGUGGAGACCGCCGGGGUCAACUCGGAGGAGGGUGGGGAUGACGUCAAGUCAUCAUGCCCCUUAUGUCCAGGGCUUCACGCAUGCUACAAUGGCUGGUACAGAGAGUGGCGAGCCUGUGAGGGUGAGCGAAUCUCGGAAAGCCGGUCUCAGUUCGGAUUGGGGUCUGCAACUCGACCUCAUGAAGUCGGAGUCGCUAGUAAUCGCAGAUCAGCAACGCUGCGGUGAAUACGUUCCCGGGGCU
rnacentral:rRNA from 1 species